rnacentral:lncRNA from 1 species
GGUGAUCUCCAUGGUCAAUGUCAAUCUCACUUGAACCAACAUUCUCAUCACUCAUAGGCGAUCCUCGGGGUGUACUAGCAAACUCAAAAAAUCAUGUGUCACAAGUGUUUGCUUGGGAGGGGUGUAGUACUAGGGUGGCAAUGGGCUAAAUAUGUCAAACAUAAUUAGUGAGCUCGGUUGCUAUAGGAACUGCAACAACCCAUCUCCGG